rnacentral:lncRNA from 1 species
AGCUUUGUGUUUUCCAGGGCUCCUAUUGCCCAGAAAAAUGCCUGUGCAGGGACACCAGAGGGUGUGUUGCCAGCCCUGGCACAUGGUGGCUGUCAAGGGCACUGAAGCACAAGAGACAAGUUCAGGAGACCUGGGUUCCUACAUUGUCCAGAGCUGUUGUAGGGCUUCUGCUGUGAUGCUGGAUGGAGACCACACCUCAGAGGCUGUGCCUGUGUUUAUCUUCUCUCCUGGGUGCCAACGUGACAGUGGUACCAAGAAGCCCCUGCUCAGGCUAGAGACCCAGUGCCAGAUGCUGUAUGUUCUCAUGGAAGGAGUGGGAGCCAGCCUUGGAGAACCAUGCAGGAAGAGCCCAGGCCCUGACUUGGAGUGCUCUGUGCUUCAGGGCUUCUGCUCCUCUGUAUGUUCCAAAUCCCCAACCCUUCUUGCUCCAGAACUUCUGAAGUGCACCUCCCACCUCCCUGAAAUGCCUUUCAGCUCUGCCUGAUGCAGCAGGACCUGCUCCAUUUCUCCUGUCAG